CUCGUAGGCGGCCAACUAAGUCGGAUGUGAAAUCCCCAGGCUUAACCUGGGAACUGCAUCCGAUACUGGAUGGCUUGAAUCCGGGAGAGGGAUGCAGAAUUCCAGGUGUAGCAGUGAAAUGCGUAGAUAUCUGGAGGAAUACCGGUGGCGAAGGCGGCAUCCUGGACCGGCAUUGACGCUGAGUGAGCGAAAGCUAGGGGAGCAAACG
rnacentral:rRNA from 1 species